ensembl:lncRNA
AGUGGAGAGUUCCAAACAAGUUCCCAGACAAAACUCCCAGCCGACCAGGGCCAAGAGACUGGCACGGGCCUCACUGGGUGGCUGCGCGCAUGCCCAGAGCCAGCCAAUCGGAGUGCAGCCCCGCCCACCAAGCUCCGGAUCUUCCCGGACACCCUAACUUCCUGCCCGUGUUGCUAUGGUUCCGCGGACUGCUCGCUGUCCAGGGGUGGUUUGGCCGGACCCCGUCGAGAGAUUCUCUUCCUUUCUCUGGUCCUUACGGGCAUCCCCCUUAACUUUCGCGUCCACGCUGUCCAGUCCUCUGCGGGAAAACCCAGCAGAAACGAUGAAUUUUCUUCCGGGCUUGCGGCGUUUUGGUUUCUGUAGCCUGCAGGUGGCAGUGUUGCUCCACAGUGUCGCCGGGCCGGUUUUUUCCUCCGCCCUCGCGCUUUAAUAAAAUAACAGGAAGCUUUUGGCCACAAGAAACAGCUGGAUCUUAGCUUGGCACUUGUCCCCAUCAUGUUAUUAUUGUAGGUGGCUCAGAUGGUAAGGAGUCAGCCUGCAGUGCAGGAUAGCCAGAUUCAAUGGCUGGGUUGGGAAGAUCCUCUGG